CUGACCUUAGCUCAGUGGGUAGAGUGGUGGACUGUAGUUGGACUAAUCUAAAUUGGAAAUCCUUAGGUCGCUGGUUUGAUUCUGGCAGGUUGGA
rfam:Ipomoea nil DNA, scaffold: scaffold3318, cultivar: Tokyo-kokei standard.